rnacentral:rRNA from 1 species
CCCUUAGAUGUUCCGGGCCGCACGCGCGCUACACUGACGAAUGCAACGAGCUUAUAACCUUGGCCGAAAGGUCUGGGUAAUCUCCAAAUUUCGUCGUGAUGGGGAUAGAUUAUUGCAAUUAUUAAUCUUCAACGAGGAAUGCCUAGUAAGCGCAAGUCAUCAGCUUGCGUUGAUUACGUCCCUGCCCUUUGUACACACCGCCCGUCGCUACUACCGAUUGAAUGAUUUAGUGAGGACUUCGGACUGGGACCGAUGCGGCUUUCGGGCUGCGUCGGUAUUCUGGAAAGAUGUCCAAACUGUAUCAUUUAGAGGAAGUAAAAGUCGUAACA